AGAGUUUGAUCCUGGCUCAGGAUGAACGCUAGCUACAGGCUUAACACAUGCAAGUCGAGGGGCAGCAUGUUGGUUGCUUGCAACCAAUGAUGGCGACCGGCGCACGGGUGAGUAACGCGUAUCCAACCUACCCUUGUCCAUCGGAUAACCCGUCGAAAGGCGGCCUAACACGAUAUGCGGUUCUCAGCAGGCAUCUAACGAGAACGAAAUGUGAAGGAGAAGGAUGGGGAUGCGUCUGAUUAGCUUGGUUGGCGGGGUAACGGCCACCAAGGCGACGAUCGAGUAGGGGUUCUGGAGAGGAAGGUCCCCCANAUUGGAACUGAGACACGGUCCAAACUCCGUACGGGAGGCA
rnacentral:rRNA from 1 species